CUAGGACAUUUCAGCAUGCUUCCAGGAGAAGAGGUGUGGGAUGGUCUAAAGUCACCAAAGCUCUGAGGUCAGAAUAAGGCUUCCAUGCUGUGAAGAAGCUGCAGCCGCACGGAAAGGCCCAGUGUACACGGAGCCCCAACCAGGACCCAGUCAGCAACCAGCUUGCGAGUGAGACACAGCAGAUGGCCGGUACCCUACAGCUCUCACCGCUUCCCAUUCCUGUUGCCUGCAUCAGAAUGGUGGCCCCUGAGAACAACUCAGCAGACCCCUGCCAGUCCAGAGAAAGCUGAGAGAAGAUAAUUAAUAAUUCUUUUCAGCCACUAAAUUUUUCUAGCGGGAGUUGCUGUGGGGAUGGGGAAGGAGUGACCGGAUGUCUGUAGCCUGAUAGCGUCAACCAGCAGCGCCCCGAGCCAGACAUUCCUUCCUCAGUAAGGGCGGACAUCCGAGAAAGCACAAUGAACCCAGC